rnacentral:lncRNA from 1 species
GGUUGUGAAUUUUGAGAAACUGCAGACAAGGUAUUUGCUUCUGCAGUUUCACUGUCGUUAUAAACUUCUUUCGCAAGAGGGUGUCUAUUUUAAUUAGCUACUUUGUUUUGUAUCCUGAAGGAGGGGUAUCGAUGAGCCCGAUGUUCGAAAACAACCACCUUGAAUUUCCUCAUCUCUUUGAUUUUUUGCUCAUUGAAAGUUUAUAGUUUACGGAAUGCAUCAUGAUUUGGUCAUUUUUGGUUCUGAAACCAUUCGGGUCUCUAUGUGGAUCUGAGAGCUGAUUUUGAUGGAAAAUGGGAUUUUUUGCGGUCAAGUGCUGAAAAAUCCACAUUUUUUGCCUUCAGACCCAUGUUUAGGUCAGUAUUAGAUCAGUGUUUAGACCAAAUGACCAAAUCGUGAUGCAUUUUGUAAAAUAUAGACUCUCAAUGAGCAACAAAUCAUAGAGCUGAGAAAAUUCAACUGGGCUGGGCCCAAUAGCGGAUCCAGCACAUUGGCAAUUGGCAACAAUGUUUUCUCCAUCUAAACCUACGGAAAUGUAUCGAUUCUUGGAGGGGCCAGGUGCUUCGACAAGAAUCAAUCAUUUAACAUAGGUUUAAAUGGAGGGAGUCCGGUGUUGCCAAAUUGCUGGAUCCGCCUCUGGGUGGCCCAAAAACGGCCCUUACCAACACCCCUCCCUCAUGUCUAUUCAACGCUGAUUUCAGAUGGUGAAGAGUUACCGCCAGAUUCCUGCAAGUUCGUGCCUUGCCCUCCUCCAGAGGAGCCCCCUGCUCCACCCCCUCCUCCGACUGACGAAAGCAAUAAAGAAGCAGAACCGGAUGAUGAGGAAGAAGGAGAAGUUGUAGAAGAACAAACGGAGGAAGUAGAAGAACAAACGGAGGAAAAAGCAGAAUCUUCAUCCCGGAGUCAAUCACCAUCUUUGACGCAUUAGAAAAGUACAAAAAUGAGCUCCUCAACCAGCUCAACACAACCAGUGCGACCGUGCGCAUCGGACACCCGUGGCAUCUCUUGGGAAAGUCAAGUCAAUGGAGCAGGGCACCCCUGUUUUGAAAUUAUCCCCCUAUCAACAACUCCCCUCAUUUGACAAAUUCCAGAAAAAUGUUAGCGAUGUUAUCAAUUUUGAAAACUUACCUGAAUCGACAGGUAAAUAUGAGAACCUCAGUCUUGUACUUAAUAGGUUAAAAAAGUGAUGUCAAAUAUUAAUCCAUAAAAAUAAAUGUGUAGAUAUUAUGCAAACCAUACCUCUGUGUUACAUUUCUUUUAAACAAAUGGUUCAGUAGCACCCACUUUUUUAAAUUCAGUUUUGGGAAGUCCAGAGCAAACGAAGCCUCUAGGAAUUUUCAGAUUUUCCAACGCUGAAUGUUAAAGAAACUUUAUUUUAAAAUACCAAAAAUUGGAUGUUGAAAUGAUAUUUUUGACCCUCUGUGCUCCCCAAAAAAUGAUUUUCUCAAACUUUUUAGAGAACUUUUCGGUUGGAUCUGUGAAGUUCCAACUAUAUAUGUAAAACUAGAAAAAUCGAACCUUGAUUGAGGUGUUUCAAAAUUUCAAUUCUUUUCAAAAGGAAAAAAACCAAUAUUUUCGCACAAAAUUUCGACUGUAACAUUUAAGUUUUAAAUUUAAA